GACGAACGCUGACGGCGUGCUUAAACACAUGCAAGUCGAACGAAGAGCGACGGAAGCUUGCUUCUAUCAAUCUUAGUGGCGAACGGGUGAGUAACGCGUAAUCAACCUGCCCUUCAGAGGGGGACAACAGUUGGAAACGACUGCUAAUACCGCAUACGAUCUAAUCUCGGCAUCGAGGAUAGAUGAAAGGUGGCCUCUACAUGUAAGCUAUCACUGAAGGAGGGGAUUGCGUCUGAUUAGCUAGUUGGAGGGGUAACGGCCCACCAAGGCGAUGAUCAGUAGCCGGUCUGAGAGGAUGAACGGCCACAUUGGGACUGAGACACGGCCCAGACUCCUACGGGAGGCAGCAGUGGGGAAUCUUCCGCAAUGGCUCGAAAGUCUGACGGAGCAACGCCGCGUGAGUGAUGACGGCCUUCGGGUUGUAAAGCUCUGUUAAUCGGGACGAAAGGCCUUCUUGCAAAUGUUCAGAAGGAUAGACGGACC
rnacentral:rRNA from 1 species